rnacentral:rRNA from 1 species
UACGGAGGGGGCGAGCGUUAUUCGGAAUUAUUGGGCGUAAAGGGCGCGUAGGCGGCUUGAUGUGUCAAAGGUGAAAUCCCUCGGCUCAACUGAGGAACUGCGUCCGAUACUGGAUGGCUUGAGUUCGGGAGAGGGAUGCGGAAUUCCAGGUGUAGCGGUGAAAUGCGUAGAUAUCUGGAGGAACACCGGUGGCGAAGGCGGCAUCCUGGACCGACACUGACGCUGAGGAGCGAAAGCCAGGGGAGCAAACGGG